AGGGAGUGCGACCUCGCUGCUGAGUUAGCCUGGCUCUUGAGCCGGGCUGAUAGAAACUCCCCCAAUCCCCACUUGUUUCUGUGUUUAGGGUUUGGCAAACUGGUGUUUUCACUCUCAGGGGCUAGCUCCAUUUGUCUGGCCACUUUUCUGACUACAGUGCUGGGUACUGCACCUUUACAACAAGGCUGUGAGGGCUGAGCACUCAGAGGCAGAGGCUGGGGGAUCCCUGAGUUCAAGGCUACCCAGGGCUACGCAGAAGGGCACCUGGUUCCCCAGCAUCCCAGACAACAGUCCCCUGUGUGGCUCCUGGUGUGAUGUGCACUAGGCCCAGAAGGACAUGGAGAGAAUGUGCACAGCCUUGUCCCGGCGCUGGAAAACAGAAGCUAACCUGUAAGCAACUAGAGGAUGUUUUCAGCUCGUGAGGAAGACUUAGCUUUUAAAAAGUAAAAAGCAGGAACAGGAAUAUGCCACCACACCUUGCUGGGAGCAGGGAUAACACGCCCAAAGAAAAGGGAUGAGCCGGGUCACUGAUCCUCACAAGGCCUGAAGAAGAGGUGGGACUCAUCACGAGGCCACAAAGAAAUACACAUUUUUUUUCUGGAGGUGGAUUUUCUGUUUGCUGAACAGAGCAGAUGGCUGUGCUUGAGAGGGGAAAGGAAAUUGCUAACCCUGUCCCCUGGCAUAGAAGAAAAAAUUGACGAAGUCACCAGGCUGGGCUCCAGCCCCUCUUCUGCAGCCUCAGCAGAUUUCUCUGCUGACACUCUGCCAUCAGAGAGUCUUUGAGGAGCACUGCCCCUGCUUCCCUUCUCCUAAAUUGACAGGGCUGUGCCUCACCUGUGCACUGCACCCAGAUUCCUCAGCUCCCUUCCUGAGCCCCUUCAAAUCUGUUCUGAGCUGCAAGCCUACAGCAUCUGGGCUGCAGGAUUUCUUUCCUUGAUUUCUUUCAUUUUGCCCCAUAGGUUACCUGGCACAUAGUAGGUGGAAAGACAUGUUUUCAGUUUGCUGAAUGUAUACAUGCAUACAUGUAUACAUACAUACAUACAUACAUACAUUUAUUUCUAGAGUGGCUGAAGUGAAUGAUGCUUGAGUCUUUCCUAUAUGACACACAUUAACAAAAUGGCAUUGUCCUGAUUGGUCUGUGAUUUUUCCCGGCUUCAGCCUCAGUAAAAUGGCAUCACUGGGUAGCAUGCGGAAGAGUCCAUAUGUUCAUCCUUAUGGGUCCUUCACAUCACGGAAGAGGAUGACACUUAACAAAUGACUCCAUGAGCAAGCGAGCACCUUGCCUUCUGGAUUAGUGGGCUCUGCAUCCACUGACUUGACCAACAUGUGACCAAAAUGUUCAAUAGAAACUGCAUUUGUACUUAAAAUGCAAACUCUUCCCUCUCUGGCUUUGCUCCCUAAAACCACAGACAGUGUAACAUCUGUGGUUUGUCUUCAUUGGAUGUGGGGGAUAUACAUAGGUUGCCAGAAGUGCUAUUAAAUCAACAUAAGGUCUUGGAGCAUCCUGGAGGAGGGAUGAUAUAUUCUGAAUGAGGGAAGGGCCACUCCACAGGCAGGGUGUUGGACUCAAUAAAAAGGGGGAAAGGAGAAAGCCAGGUGAGUGCCAGCAUCUGUCUCUUCCUAUGUCCUUAUCUGCCCAGAUUUCAGCGAGCUCCCAAUGUGACCAUGAUAGACUUCAUCCUCUGAGCCAGGAGCCACAAUAAACUUCAUCUCUGAA
rnacentral:lncRNA from 1 species